AACGAACGCUGGCGGCAGGCUUCACACAUGCCAGUCGAACGCAUCCUUCGGGGUGAGUGGCAGACGGGCGUGUAACGCGUGGGAACGUGCCCUUCAGUUCGGGUUAACCCAGGGAAACUUCGGCUAAUACCGGAUACGUGCGAGAGCAGAAAGAUUUAUCGCUGAAGGAUCGGCCCGCGUCUGAUUAGCUAGUUGGUGGGGUAAUGGCCCACCAAGGCGUCGAUCAGUAGCUGGUUUGAGAGGAUGAUCAGCCACAUUGGGACUGAGACACGGUCCAAUCUCCUACGGGAGGCAGCAGUGGGGAAUAUUGGACAAUGGGCGCAAGCCUGAUCCAGCCAUGCCGCGUGAGUGAUGAAGGCCUUAGGGUUGUAAAGCUCUUUCGUCCGGGACGAUAAUGACGGUACCGGAACAAGAAGCCCCGGCUAACUUCGUGCCUGCAGCCGCAGUAA
rnacentral:rRNA from 1 species